UCGCUUCAACCGAUUGGAUGAUCCGGCAAAUUCUACGGACUGACUAACUGCUUCGGCAGAUUAGCUAGGAAGUAGCGUGAGCCUUAUCAUCUAGAGGAUGAAG
rnacentral:rRNA from 1 species